CUGGUUGAUCCUGCCAGUAGUCAUAUGCUUGUCUCAAAGAUUAAGCCAUGCAUGUCUAAGCACAAGCCGAUUAAUGGUGAAGCCGCGAAUGGCUCAUUACAACAGCCAUAGUUUCUUAGAUCUUACUUUUCUACUUGGAUAACUGUGGUAAUUCUAGAGCUAAUACACGCAAAAAAGCUCAGACCUUACGGAAUGAGCGCAUUUAUUAGAACAAAAACCAAUCGGGCUUCGGUCCGUCAUUUGGUGAAUCUGAAUAACUUUGCUGAUCGCACGGUCUUCGUACCGGCGACAUAUCUUUCAAAUGUCUGCCUUAUCAACUUUCGAUGGUAGUUUAUGCGCCUACCAUGGUUGUAACGGGUAACGGAGAAUAAGGGUUCGACUCCGGAGAGGGAGCCUGAGAAACGGCUACCACAUCCAAGGAAGGCAGCAGGCACGCAAAUUACCCACUCCCGGCACGGGGAGGUAGUGACGAAAAAUAACGAGACGGCUCGCUAUGCGGUCCGUCAUCGGAAUGGGUACAAUUUAAAUCCUUUAACGAGGAUCUAUUGGAGGGAAAGUCUGGUGCCA
rnacentral:rRNA from 1 species